rnacentral:rRNA from 1 species
GUGGGGAAUAUUGGACAAUGGGCGCAAGCCUGAUCCAGCAAUGCCGCGUGGGUGAAGAAGGCCUUCGGGUUGUAAAGCCCUUUUGUACGGGAAGAACUCCUGUCGGUUAAUACCUGGCGGGGAUGACGGUACCGUAAGAAUAAGCACCGGCUAACUUCGUGCCAGCAGCCGCGGUAAUACGAAGGGUGCAAGCGUUAAUCGGAAUUACUGGGCGUAAAGCGUGCGUAGGUGGUUGUUCAAUUCUGUCGUGAAAGCCCUGGGCUCAACCUGGGAAUGGCGAUGGAAACUGGGCUACUAGAGUGCGGUAGAGGAUGGCGGAAUUCCCGGUGUAGCGGUUAAAUGCGUAGAGAUCGGGAGGAACAUCCGUGGCGAAGGCGGCCAUCUGGACCAGCACUGACACUGAGGCACGAAAGCGUGGGGAGCAAACAGGAUUAGAUACCCCAGUAGUCC